UCAGAUAGCUCAGUUGGUAGAGCAGAGACUGAA
rnacentral:tRNA from 1 species